rnacentral:rRNA from 1 species
AUUGAACGCUGGCGGCAGGCUUAACACAUGCAAGUCGAGCGGGGUGAUGGUGCUUGCACUAUCACUUAGCGGCGGACGGGUGAGUAAUGCUUAGGAAUCUGCCUAUUAGUGGGGGACAACAUCUCGAAAGGGAUGCUAAUACCGCAUACGUCCUACGGGAGAAAGCAGGGGAUCACUUGUGACCUUGCGCUAAUAGAUGAGCCUAAGUCGGAUUAGCUAGUUGGUGGGGUAAAGGCCUACCAAGGCGACGAUAUGUAGCGGGUCUGAGAGGAUGAUCCGCCACGCUGGGACUGAGACACGGCCCAGACUCCUACGGGAGGCAGCAGUGGGGAAUAUUGGACAAUGGGGGGAACCCUGAUCCAGCCAUGCCGCGUGUGUGAAGAAGGUCUUCGGAUCGUAAAGCACUUUAAGUUGGGAGGAAGGGCGCUCGGUGAAUACCCAGGCGUCUUGACGUUACCGACAGAAUAAGCACCGGCUAACUUCGUGCCAGCCGCCGCAGUAA